UUUGGUAACCAAUUGGGAAGCUUCCUAAACGGACAGCUGCCCAGAUUUGUUAAGGGAAACAAGCUAGGAAAUGGAAAAUAUCUAAAGAAAACGGACAUCUGUCCAAAAUUCAAUUUUAAAAUAUAUUCUGUAAAGGUAUUUUGGAAAAAGGUGUCUGCCUUGCCUUGGUAGGCACACAAGAGACCCCUACCCUAUAAAACGGCGGAUCGGAGCCCUACUUCUUCUUCUCCAUUUUUCAUUUUGUUCCUUCAUCUUCUCUACAAGACUUUUCCUCUUCACAAAAGGACUAAAUUGGACCCUCCUCUCAACAGAAACCCCCAAUUUCUAAGAGUUCUGAAGAACACUUAUACCCAUUAGGUGACUCCAUCCCUUUUUAUUCAGAUACACGACAUUUUAGGAGUUUCAGAAUAGGGAAAUACAGUAUGGCGGUAGUCAUUGGCAACUUUGUCAUCAUUUGUUUCAGAGUGAUAAAGAGAUAUACAUAUCAACAACUACAUGCAAAUUAGAGCCGUUAGUUAUAUGUUGCAGUCAUCAUCAGCAGAUACAAAACCAAAUAGCCACAUGUUGUGUUGCGUAAUGCAGGGGUUAGAACUUUGGAACAAGUUCCUCCUUACAUUAGUUCGUAGAUAUGGAUAAGGCCCAACAUAUUUUGUAGUAUAUUGAUCUUAGUUUGUUUUAAUUGAGUAUAGACGUUUUUUUUUUAAAAUAGUUUGGGGCAUGCCAUGUCAAAUAAAACCUCAAAACUCAUGGCCCUCACUUAAUUAAGUUCAAUUCUUUAGAAAUCAAAGUGUGUCAUUUAGUUGAAUUUUUCAUUGGCACUUGCAAACUUGAAAGUGUGUAGUUGCUUUAGGCGCGUUAUUUAAAUUAAUUUCCUUAAACUCGAGUGUGCAUUUCAUGUGAC
rnacentral:lncRNA from 1 species